CAGCUGCGUAUCAAGAACAACUCUACGCCUGCAUGAAACACCUCGGGGAAGUUAUAAUUGCCAUGAAUCCAGAAUUAGAGGUGAAGUACAAUUUCCACUGGGAGCAGAUACUCGAACUGGUUCGCCGUUGCGCUCAACGUCAUUUCCCGAAAGACGUCCGCUACAUGGUGAGAGCGAUGGAAUACGCAAAGGGCUUAUUUUCGGGCUGAUGAAAAGCACCUGAG